GGACGUGAGGCUGAGUGGUAGAGCACUUGCUUAGCAUGCACUGAAGCCCUGAGUUCAAUUCCCAGCACUGCCA
rnacentral:tRNA from 1 species